rnacentral:rRNA from 1 species
GACGAACCGUGCGAACGUUGUUCGGAUUCGCUGGGCUUAAAGGGCGCGUAGGCGGUCGACCAAGUCUGGGGUGAAAUCUUUCGGCUCGACCGGAAAAGUGCCCCCGAAACUGGCCGGCUAGAGGGAGAUAGGGGCAUGUGGAACUUCCGGUGGAGCGGUGAAAUGCGUAGAUAUCGGAAGGAACGCCGGUGGCGAAAGCGACGUGCUGGAUCUCAUCUGACGCUGAGGCGCGAAAGCCAGGGGAGCAAACGGG